GCCGGGUGUGGUGGCGGGCACCUGUAAUCCCAGCUACUCGGGAGGCUGAGGCAGAGAAUUGCUUGAACCCAGGAGGCGGAGGUUGCAGUGAGCCCAGAUCGUGCCACUGCACUCCAGCCUGGGUGACAGAGCAAGACUCUGUCUCAA
rnacentral:SRP_RNA from 1 species